UGCAGUCGACGGUAACAGAACUAGCUUGCUAGUUGCUGACGAGUGGCGGACGGGUGAGUAAUACUUAGGGAUCUGCCUCUGUGUGGGGGAUAACUAUUGGAAACGAUAGCUAAUACCGCAUAACGUCUACGGACCAAAGAGGGCUUCGGCUCUCGCGCAGAGAGGAACCUAAGCGAGAUUAGCUUGUUGGUGAGGUAAAGGCCUACCAAGGCGACGAUCUCUAACUGGUCUGAGAGGAUGACCAGUCACACUGGGACUGAGACACGGCCCAGACUCCUACGGGAGGCAGCAGUGGGGAAUAUUGGACAAUGGGCGCAAGCCUGAUCCAGCCAUGCCGCGUGUGUGAAGAAGGCCUUAGGGUUGUAAAGCACUUUCAGGGGUGAGGAAGGGUGAGUCGCUAAUAUCGACUUAUCUUGACGUUAGCCCCAGAAAAAGCACCGGCUAACUACGUGCCAGCAGCCGCGGUAAUACGUAGGGUGCAAGCGUUGUCCGGAAUUAUUGGGCGUAAAGAGCUCGUAGGCGGUUUGUCACGUCUGCUGUGAAAUUUCGAGGCUCAACCUC
rnacentral:rRNA from 1 species